CUGUGCCAUCAGUUCCAAACAUCCCUAUAGGCUUAGAAGAACUACCAUUAUGUGGUAAAGAAGGCAUCGAGAUCACAUCUCCAGCGGUGUGAGUUGAAGGUGUUGACGGUGCUGAACUUGGGGAUGGUCCUGCAGUAUUUGCAGUGCCAGAGCUAUUGGCAGGACCUGAAGAUGAUACUGGCUGUUUUCUCUUUCUUCCUGUCUGGUUUUUUGAAACCUGAUCAUUUCCUCGAAAAGAGUUGGACAUGCUACCAUCUACUGUGACACUACCAGCACCCCCCAUCUUAU
rnacentral:misc_RNA from 1 species